rnacentral:rRNA from 1 species
UACGUAGGGUGCGAGCGUUAAUCGGAAUUACUGGGCGUAAAGUGUGCGCAGGCGGCCGCGCAAGUCGAGUGUGAAAUCCCCGAGCUUAACUUGGGAAUUGCGCUCGAAACUACGUGGCUCGAGUGUGGCAGAGGAAGGUGGAAUUCCACGUGUAGCGGUGAAAUGCGUAGAGAUGUGGAGGAACACCGAUGGCGAAGGCAGCCUUCUGGGCCAGCACUGACGCUCAGGCACGAAAGCGUGGGGAGCAAACAGG